rnacentral:rRNA from 1 species
GGCUCAGGAUGAACGCUAGCGGCAGGCUUAAUACAUGCAAGUCGUGGGGCAGCAUGAGUAGCAAUACUGAUGGCGACCGGCAAACGGGUGAGGAACACGUACACAACCUUCCUUCAAGCGGGGAAUAGCCCAGAGAAAUUUGGAUUAAUACCCCAUAAUAUAUUUGAUAAGGCAUCUUAUUAAUAUUAAAGCUUCGGCACUUGAUGAUGGGUGUGCGGCUGAUUAGAUAGUUGGCGGGGUAACGGCCCACCAAGUCUACGAUCAGUAGCUGAUGUGAGAGCAUGAUCAGCCACACGGGCACUGAGACACGGGCCCGACUCCUACGGGAGGCAGCAGUAAGGAAUAUUGGAUAAUGGACGAAAGUCUGAUCCAGCCAUGCCGCGUGAAGGAUUAAGGUCCUCUGGAUUGUAAACUUCUUUUAUAUGGGACGAAAAAAGGGCAUUCUUGUUCACUUGACGGUACCAUAUGAAUAAGCACCGGCUAACUCCGUG